rnacentral:lncRNA from 1 species
UAAAUAAAUGUAAUGAAAUGGAAAUGCUUUAUUAUAGUGGGCCAAAUUCUAUACUCCCUGUCAUAUAGGCUUAUUUAUUGGUUUCAAGCAUGUCACUAAUAUUUACAAAGUUCUUAGGAAUUAUAUUUUCAAAGUAGACAAACAGCUGUCUUACAAACUCAUCUUUUCCCCUGCUUGCAGCCUCAACCGUCCACCAAAGUCUGUUCUCCUGAGCUGCCCUGUGAUCUGCCAUUCCAAAAUACAGUGAGCAGUUACCUGCAAAUAAUUGUAUCAAUCCACACUGUCUUGUCUUUGGAUCUCUUAACCUGUCCCAGGAAAACACAACUGGACCAGUGGCACAGGAGUGGUUUAAAGAUGGGCUGGAAUGGUGGCCUCUUUAUAUAAAGACAGGAAUACAAUUAUUGACUGUCAAGAAAAGGUCAACUCCAAACCCCCACAAAAAGCUACCCUCAUUGUCCUCAUCACCCCCGCUGUCCUCGGAGGAGGAAGAAUACCCACCCCCAUGUUCAUCUUCACCUCUGCCUCCACCAACCCCUUUUACAAAAUAUAGGCGCCCCUUACAGAGAUGGUUUAUAAAAGUUAACUCACCAGGCAUUCUACUACCAACUGACCACUUACUUACCCUAAAGUAAACUUAACCCUAACCAUUUGCAGUGUUGAUAGUUUGAGUAUCUAUACGGUUUAGAAUAUUUAGGGACUGGUCCAAAUACAGUGUGAUCAACAACAUGAAUGAAUGAAUGAUUGUUCACCUCAAGCCACAAGACCCAGUUGGAGACCAGAGAUGGAGACGAGCAGCGUCAGUCGGGCAUCAAGGGCCGACCUUUUCAGGAUCAGUUGAAAGGAUCGACCUUGAAAAGCUGGGUGGGCUUCAGCUCAAGGUGGCGCAUCUGACUAAACUUAUACAAGAAGUGCAACUGCAACAGCUCUACCGGGCCAAGAACCACAGAGGGAUGAGGAGGACAGGGAACCCAUACUGCGACAACUUACAUUGUAGGAGCUCUAUGACUUCAAAUGAGAGACUUGGACCUGCACAUUAAACAUUUUUUAAAUAUGUUCUCUAACCCUUUCAUGGGCUACAUAGAGGGAUUCACAACAACUGUGUUACAGUAGAAUUCUUAAUAACCUUUGUGUUCUAGCCCAUCAGUUGUUCCUUAUAUUUGAUCUACCGUCACAUGAGCUCACCCAGCAGCAGUUAAAGUGUGUAUAGUGUUGGAAUACAGCCAAUAGGAAUUGGCUACAGUGCCCUGGUGGAAUGGGUUAAGAAAG